AGAGGGGUUUUUUGUUUGUUUGUUUGUUUGUUUGUUUUUUAAUUUUCUAGUAUUUCUCUGGAAAUUUAAGGGGCACGAAAUGCACAGACUAAUUCCCUCCUCCUCCAUGUAAAGAGUCUGUGACCUUUUGGGUAACGAUAUAAUCAAGUACUUGAUGGCAUUUAAAAAUUAAACAUAAAGUUAAGUGCCUCUGCUGGGAAGGCUGCUAUAAUAUAUAAUUGACACUUCUUUGGGUCCCUUGAAACAGGAUAAAAAAAUAAUUAAACCAUUGAGGUAUAAAUUACAUAUCCUAAAAUGUAUUUAAAUUGAAUUUAUACAAUUGUGCAACUAUCACCACAAUCCAGUUUUUUGUUUGUUUGUUUGUUUGUUUUAAGCAGAAUAAAAUGUUAAAUAACGCUAGAGGUCUUAAGGGGCUCCCACCUUCCGAGGAAAAUGCUUGGAUUUUGUUCGAAAACAAUUUUAUUUGAAUUGCACCCAGCUGUUCGCGUCUCUUAAUGGACGCAAACUGGUCCAGCUCUCAGUCUCCGGGGAAGCGCUUUCCUUUUUCUCGUAUCAAUAGAUUGGAGGCCUUAGGGUACGUAUAUUGCAAACUCCAAGUUCCGGGCGCGCACGGGUCGAGCCGCGGGGUCUGAGCCGCGCGGGCCGCCGUAGUCAGCUGCUGUGAGCAGGAAGUGUCCGAGCUGAGGGCGGAGACUGCACCAUGGCCCCGGACCCCUGGUUCUCCACCUACGAUUCUACCUGCCAAAUUGCACAAGAGAUUGCCGAGAAAAUUCAGCAGCGAAAUCAGUAUGAAAGAAAUGGUGAAAAUACAACCAAGCUUACCGUGACAAUCAGAGCUUUGUUGCAGAAACUGAAGGAAAAGAUCGCCCUUUUGAAGGACUUAUUGCUAAGAGCUGUGGCAACACAUCAGAUAACACAGCUCGAAGGAGACCGAAGACAGAACCUCUUGGAUGAUCUUGUAACUCGAGAGAGACUACUUCUGGCCUCCUUUAAGAACGAGGGUGCAGAACCCGAUCUUAUCAGGUCCAGCCUGAUGACUGGAGGGGCCAAGCGAGGAGCACCCAACCCUUGGCUCUUGGAGGAGCCGGAGGAGACCAGAGGCUUGGGUUUUGAUGAAAUCCGGCAACAGCAGCAGAAAAUUAUCCAAGAACAGGACGCAGGCCUCGAUGCCCUUUCCUCAAUCAUAAGUCGCCAGAAACAAAUGGGGCAGGAAAUUGGGAACGAACUGGAUGAGCAAAACGAGAUAAUUGAUGACCUUGCCAACCUGGUGGAGAAUACCGAUGAGAAACUUCGCACUGAAACCAGGCGUGUGAAUCUGGUGGACAGGAAGUCCACGUCUUGUGCCCUUUCAAUAUGAAGAACAUAGUGGAUCCCUCUGUUCUGUCCAGUUUUAGAAGAAGGACCUCUAUACGAGGGUCACCUGUGAUGCACAGUUUGAGAAGUGCUACCUCCCUUGCCUGUGUGUGUGUUGUCAAACAGCAACCUACAACAACCAGGUGGUGGAGGGCCAGGUAGAUAUAGACUCUGGAAUCUCAGAGGAAGUGGAACAUGGGGGCACCCACCCACUUCCGUUUCAUCACCUGUCUGCUCCCCUCAACCUGGCAGUUCUCAUCCACCGGAUGCCAAGCCACUCUGUGCUCCUGCUUCUAUAAUAGAGCACGUGCUUCUUUCUGCUUCCUGCCCAAAGCAAAGCCUUCUUGAUUUUGCUUUAACAGCCUUCUCAUAACUUCCCACCAUGCUAUUCUUUGCAUCAGAUCCUCCUGAGUCUCUGGCAACAGAGAUACAUGGGUUCACUCCCACCUCCAUCUGUUAUUAUCUUCAAUUCUCAUAUAAACUUAAUCUUUCUGAACUUGCGUUUCCUUGGCUGUUUAAAAAAACAAAAACAAAACAAGUAGAUAGCCUGGUUGUCAAAAUGAAAUUAUAUAAACCAUGUAAAGUAUCCAACACUGGCCAUUGUCCAUGAAUUUCCAUAUUUUGUGCAGAGAGCGGCUACAGCCUGAUAGUGAAGAGUGUGGGCUCCAGAGGUUGGACUCACACCCCAGCUCCACCAUUUACCAGCCAUGUGACCUUGGGAAAUCCCACUCCCCUGUGCCUUGAUUUUCCCAUCUCCAAAAUGGGAAUAAUAAUGGUACAUAUCUGAGAGGGUUGCUGUAAGGAAUACAUGAUUUAAUAGAGAUAAAGAUAUAGAUGAUAAGUAGAUAGAUAGAUAGGGAUAUAUAGCACUUAGAACAGUGGUUAGCACAUAGUAAGCAGUGAGCAAGAGUAAGUAUUGACUGUUAUCAUCAUAUGUCAGUCUGUUUUGCAUUUACAACAUAGCAGUCCUCAGCAUAUGCCAUUCAUGACAUCACAAUGAAGAAUAUUGAUUCUACUGUUGCCAAUUUUUUAUUUUAUAGUUUUACCUGGUAUUGAUGUUUGUAUCUAGAAAUGUCCAUAAAAAUAUUCUGAGCUGAGCUGUUUAAUUUUUCUGUCUCUACAAAUAUGACUACUUCCUGUCUCUAAACUGUGACUACUCUAGGUAUCUCACGUAAAUGAAACCAUACAGUAUCUGUCCCUUUGUAUCUGGCUUAUUUCACUUAGCAUAAUGUCUUCAGUAUUCCCCUAUGUUGUACCAUGCAUCUGGAAUUCUUUCCUUUUUUAAGCUGAAUAAUAUUCCAUUGUUAAUAUUUAUACCACAUUUUGUUUACCCAUUUAUCUGUCAGAGGACUCCUGGGUUGUUGCCACCUUUUAGCUACUAUGAAUUGUGCUGCAGUGUGCAUGAAUGUACAAGUAGGAGUUCAAGCCCCUGCUUUUUUGUGUAUAUACCCAGAAGUGAAAAGUCAAAGUGUUGAUCGCUCAGUCAUGUCCAACUUUCUGUGACUCCGUGGACUAUAACCAACCCAGCUCCUCUGUCCAUGGGAUUUUCUAGGCAAGAAUACUGGAGUGGGUUGCCAUUCCCUUCUCCAGGGGAUCUUCCUGACCUGGGGAUUGAACCUGGGUCUCCUGCAUUGCAAGAAGAUUCUUUACCAUCUGAGCCAUCAGGGAAGCCCCAUCUGAAGUAGAAUCACUGAAUCAAAUUGUAAUUCAGUGUUGAAUUUGGAGAAGGCCCUGCCCUACUGACCUGACCUUUUGUUUUGCUUUCAACCUUUAAACUCUUAGUUACUUUCUACUAGUUUAGUUUAGUUUAGUUUUUAGUGUGAUAAAAGCCCAGUUGCAGGGAGGAGUCAGGGACUUCUGCAACCUGAGAGGGGCAGGCAAGUGGAGUGGAAGAUUUGCCUAAGCAAAAUAGAAGUGGGAACAAAAGUGGCUUCAAAAACCAGAGGGCAUCUUGAAAAUAAAUGGAUGAUAAUGGUGAUUUUACUGCUGCUCGUGGCCAUCGUGGUAGUUGCAGUCUGGCCGACCAAGUAGUGGCCUUCAAGGGACCACCAACCAGGACACUUGCCAGAGAUGGAGUAAAGCCGAGCUUCCUCUUGGUACCCAAAAGCCGCUCUCAAUAAAUUCCCCCAAAGUUCUGA